GACGAACCGAUGCGAACGUUGUUCGGAAUCACUGGGCUUAAAGGGCGCGUAGGCGGGUUCGCAAGUCUGUGGUGAAAUCCUCCGGCUCAACCGGAGAACUGCCUCGGAUACUGCGGGUCUCGAGGGUGAUAGGGGUAUGCGGAACUAUCGGUGGAGCGGUGAAAUGCGUUGAUAUCGAUAGGAACUCCGGUGGCGAAGGCGGCAUACUGGAUCACUUCUGACGCUGAGGCGCGAAAGCCAGGGGAGCAAACGGG
rnacentral:rRNA from 1 species